AUUGAACGCUGGCGGCAGGCCUAACACAUGCAAGUCGAGCGGAUGAGUGGAGCUUGCUCCGUGAUUCAGCGGCGGACGGGUGAGUAAUGCCUAGGAAUCUGCCUGGUAGUGGGGGACAACGUUUCGAAAGGAACGCUAAUACCGCAUACGUCCUACGAGAGAAAGUGGGGGAUCUUCGGACCUCACGCUAUCAGAUGAGCCUAGGUCGGAUUAGCUAGUUGGUGAGGUAAAGGCUCACCAAGGCGACGAUCCGUAACUGGUCUGAGAGGAUGAUCAGUCACACUGGAACUGAGACACGGUCCAGACUCCUACGGGAGGCAGCAGUGGGGAAUAUUGGACAAUGGGCGAAAGCCUGAUCCAGCCAUGCCGCGUGUGUGAAGAAGGUCUUCGGAUUGUAAAGCACUUUAAGUUGGGAGGAAGGGCAGUAAGUUAAUACCUUGCUGUUUUGACGUUACCAACAGAAUAAGCACCGGCUAACCUCGUGCCAGCCGCCGCCGUAAUAC
rnacentral:rRNA from 1 species